ACCCGCUGAACUUAAGCAUAUCAGUAAGCGGAGGAAAAGAAACUAACAAGGAUUCCCCUAGUAACGGCGAGCGAAGCGGGAAGAGCUCAAAUUUAAAAUCUGGGAGGCUUGCCUCUCCGAAUUGUAGUUUAAAGAGGUGUUAUCUGGUCCUUGGCUUGUGCUCAAGUCCCUUGGAAUAGGGCGUCACAGAGGGUGAGAACCCCGUCUGGGCACUGGUCAAGGGCCUCUAUGAGGCACUCUCUACGAGUCGGGUUGUUUGGGAAUGCAGCUCAAAAUGGGUGGUAAAUUUCAUCUAAGGCUAAAUACUGGCAAGAGACCGAUAGCGAACAAGUACCGUGAGGGAAAGAUGAAAAGCACCUUGAAAAGGGAGUUAAAUAGUGCGUGAAAUUGUUAAAAGGGAAACGAUUGAGACCAGUAUUGUUGCUGGCUUUGAGCUGCGGGUUGGCGCAAGCCUGCGCGCAGUGUAGCAGCCAGUGACGAGUCAGCGUCAGUUUGGGUUUCCGGAGAGAGGCUGGAGGAAGAUGGGAUUGGCUUUCGGGCCAAUCUUUUAUAGACUCUGGCUGGCACGGGAGCCUGGACUGAGGUGCGCGACCGUAGUACUCAUGGCCCGAGACCACUCCCCAAGGGCAAGGACUGCACGCAGACCUUGCCUGCAAGGAGGGGAGGUAGGGCCAUGCAUACGGUUCCAGGAUGCUGACGAAAUGGUCUUAAACGACCCGUCUUGAAACACGG
rnacentral:rRNA from 1 species